GUUGCUAGCUUUGCCAAUGGUUUAUAAAUUUUCCAGCAUGCAAAAAGCCCAAAAGAAUACACACACACACACACACACACACACUUUGAAGGCUUUCCUCUAUUUGACCAAGAGGUAGCCAAUCUAUAUACAGCCUUCCUUCUUAUUUAUUUAUUUUCCUGAGAAUAUACAAGAUAAAGAAAGAAAUCUCUCCUCUUUAACAGCUCAUUGCUUGGCAACCCAAAGCCCAGUUCCAGUUCUCCAUUGACUUCUGAUGAGCUAACUGUUCGUAAAUAUAUGCCCUUCAGAUUCACAGUUUAAGGAUUGAAAGAGCCCAUCAGUUUAGUGCCCCAUUCGUGGCACACUACAACUUGCUAGAUGCCCUCUUGUUCCUCGGUUGACAUGCUCGUGAACAGAGGUGACUCUGUUUUUUUCCGAUCACCCAGCACAGGUGCUCUGUCAACCCUCUAGCUUCAUUGCCAUAUCUUAACGUGGCAAAGCGGUUAGCUGUGGAUGGCCAUAAAAAACAGGGGCGGCACAUGUCACUCCGCCUGCUAAGCAAGAUACAUGUCUAAACUCUGACCUUUAACCUCAUGGUGUCCGCCUCUGCUCUUCAUAGAGUUCUUCGAUGGUUUGACAAUCCUGUUUUCUUCCCUUUGUGUGGGCAGGAGGGGUUUUUCCUUUCUCAGAAAAUGACACGGGUUUUAUUUUAUUUUUAUUCUUAAACCCAAAUUGCAGACAUGGAAAAUGAGAGCAAUCGACAGGCUUUGCAUCUUCUGCAGUAAUAUCUAAACCUCUCCCAACCCCGUAGACAGAGUACGAUGAAGUGGUCACAACCCCAUUGAUUCCAUCACCUCUCCUACAAUACAAUAUUGAAGAAGUUGUUCUCCAUAAGUUUACAAGCUUAAUUAUAGUCUGAAAUAUUCAUUGCGAAUAGAGGACGCCUUCUUCCUGUUUAUAAGCUUUGUCCAGGUUGAGCUUUGCAAAAGAGGUGAGGUCUCAACAUCGAGCCUAAAUUCUUAUCAAUUCAUUGCUAACAUCAGAAGGUUCCGAUUACAAUGCCGUAAAAACAAUGUUAUUUUGAUAUAUUUUCGAAUAAAAAAUACUUUAAAAAAAGCGAUUGUUACCGUAUCUUCAAACACCAUCUUCUCUUUGUUGGCAUUUCAUGAUCCUUCUCUUGUAAGGUAGGUUACUUCCAAAUUUGUUUUAAGAUAAGUCAUCGAAGGUCCCAUGAGGAAAAGAAACAUGUUGAUGGAAUGGAAGGAGAGAGUAACGUAUUACCCAAUGAAAGCAUACUCGUAACAACCGAUCUACAAGGAGGACAGAACCUCCUCCACCAAAAAUCAGAACUUCUCUAGAUGUCAAAAGCACCCUGUCUUGUCCUUCAUUAUGAUUCCUAUCACAUACAUGGCCGAAUUAACUUGAUUCUAUCCUUACAGAUCCAAAACCCAGUAGCUGUAUCCUUUAAGCAUGAGCAGUAUGCAAACCUUAUCCGCCAUAGAUUCUUCCAUGUCUUGAGUUAUCAAAGCACCGCCUUAUCUCAUCUUCAAAUAUUCUUGAUUUUUCAAUUAUGAAGAGUAGGGCCUCUUGACUUUUAUAGGGAGGGAAAUAAUUCCACCUAUGAAAGUGACUGGAAAAAGCGAAAGGACAUGGUUUCUGGCCUCACCAGGAACACCCACCUUUUCUUACCAUUGCCGUGAUAGGGCUCUCGGUUUCUGGGGCCACUUUCACAAGUGGGUCUUCUUUCUUGUUGAGUUGCCUCUGGCUGUGUAUUCCACUUUCUUGCAUUUGCACCGACAUGUUCUUGCAACUCUACUGUGAUUUACCAUAGCAAUUCAAAUAAAG
rnacentral:lncRNA from 1 species